GUGGGGAAUCUUGCGCAAUGCGCGAAAGCGUGACGCAGCAACGCCGCGUGAGGGAAGACGGCCUUCGGGUUGUAAACCUCUUUCAGGAGGGACGAAGGUUCAGGCGCGAAUAGCGUCCUGGACUGACGGUACCUCCAGAAGAAGCCCCGGCUAACUACGUGCCAGCAGCCGCGGUAAUACGUAGGGGGCUAGCGUUGUCCGGAAUCAUUGGGCGUAAAGCGCGCGUAGGCGGCCCGGUAAGUCCGCUGUGAAAGUCAAAGGCUCAACCUUUGAAUGUCAGCGGAUACUGCCGGGCUAGAGUCCGGAAGAGGCGAGUGGAACUCCUGGUGUAGCGGUGGAAUGCGCAGAUAUCAGGAAGAACACCAACGGCGAAGGCAGCUCGCUGGGACGGAACUGACGCUAAGGCGCGAAAGCGUGGGGAGCGAACAGGAUUAGAAACCCUUGUAGUCC
rnacentral:rRNA from 1 species